UGAGAUGUCCUCCAAUGGGUAGAUGGUUAAAUGAACUGUGGCACAUCUCUACAAUGGAAUAUUAUUUAGUAAUAAAAAUAAAUGAGCUAUCUAGCUUUGCAAAGACAUGAAAGAAACUUAAAUGCAUACCGCCAAGUGAAAGAAGUCAGCCUGAAAAGGUUACAUAACGCAGGAUUCCAGCUAUAGGACAUUCUGGAAUGUGGAGGCAACUCUAUGGAGACAGUCAAAAGGUCAGCGACAGCCAAGGAUUUGGAAGCAGGGAAUGAAGGAUGAAAAAAUUUGUUAAAAAAAAGAAGACAGGCUACAAUAAAAAGUUAGUGGGGAAGAAAAUUCUAGUUGUUGGCAAUCAUAGGAACCAAGGCGCAGUAUGUGAAAAGGCAAAGCCUACUUCUGCCAGGACAGAACAGCCAGUGAAGAGGAAUGUGAUUGAACAUUUUUUCAUAUCUAUUCUGUGAAUAUAUUUCACUGGAAGUGCCAGUCCAGUGAUUGGUGGAGCAGCCUGGAGCCAGGCAGCAGAAUGAGUCAGUGAAGGAAGACCAAAGAUUUAAAGCCUGCCCAGUCUUUGGCAUUGAAGUUCCUCCUUGGCACACUUCAUACCACUGGAGUGAGGGAUAAGUAACCGGCAGUGCACUGACCAUUAGGGACUGUGACCCUCUCCCAGGUGGACACUUGGCUCCCCCACAACCUGCUCCACCUUGAUCAUGGAGAUUUCCUUUUCUGUACCCAGCAGACACUUAACAUGAAAAAAGGUGUCUCAGUGUCCCCUCAAGUCAUUGGUUCUGGAACGUUCAUAGAAGAUUGACACCACUUCUAACAGUUAUAGAAAAUAAGAUCAUCCCCUUUCAAGGAUUUGGGGUCCUCAUAAGAUUGUGAAUCUAAACUCUGAAGCUCCUUGUGUUUAGUAAGAUAACAGUGGUUGCAGUAGAUUCCAUUUUUUGGUGCUUUGGCAGAUGUUUCACCGACACCCAGUUCUGACCCUGAUAGCAUUGUUGUAAGAUAGGGGCUAGCGUCCCCAUUCCUCACAACAUGAGGAAAUUCGUGUUCUGACAGAUCAGAUCACAUACAACAGCCAUAUAGCUCAUCAAAAUCUUAAACUAAAGAGGUCUGAUGCUUAAACUUUAUUUUCCUCCCAUUCACUGCUCCCUAUAAACUACUUUAUUAUUUAUCUAUAUCUUUCCUUUUGAAGUAGUCACACCAGUUCCUCCUCAUAUUCUAAUCAAGGCAAGACUCACUGCAUUAAGGAAGGCAGUUGCUUGAACCUCUCCAUCUAUGGCUGAAGCUUAGAGAGAGGCAGGCGUGGACCUCUUGAGACGGCCCAGACACAGGUGAUAGGGUCCAGGUGAGACCAGAAAGGGCAGGAGGUGAGCUGGCUAAUGGACUCCCACCAUCCGCCCACGGGGAACCCAGGGGGCCCAGAGGCUCAGAAUUGUUAGCCAGACUAAAAGAGCAUUUUCACUUAUCCCAGGGGAGAGCUAUUUAGCCAGGACAAUUAGGCCAUUUAAACUGACCAUAUUUUGUGUUAAAACCAAGGGAAUUCCUAGUUCAGCCUACCUGGUGUUCUUAACGUUGCUGAGUAAAGACAGUGGUGAGGGAACACUGGAGUCUCCACUUGGCUAGGUGACCAGAGAAGAUACCAGCAACGGUUUCCUAAGCAUCUGUGGACAGCCUAUACUCAUGGGAGGAGACAGUGUAUAGGAAGAGGUGCACAGAGAAGGUAAAAUUCACUGAACAUGAAUGAUGAGACUAUAAUAAAGUUGAAGAUGGAAAGAGGAGGGUCACAGUGUAGGAUGAAACUGUGAACUAUGGGAUAGGGUAACGAUUGCUUCGAUGAGGCAUGUCCAGGCCACACUGGGUCAGCCACCUGGCUAGGGGCUGGGGAGAGGGACUGGGGUGAGGCUGGAGGAGAGGAUGACUCCUUCCUGAAUCCGGAGGGGUGCUAAGGAGUAAGCAGGGCAAAGAUGGACAUAGAAGAGAGUCUUUUAGGACAAAGGGGUAUAUGUCCCAGCACAGUGAUUUAUUUACAUUUACAUUUAAUUCAAAAUAAAUUUAAAUUUAAAUUCAGGAAGAAUGACUUUUUUCAUUUUCAAGGUGAACUAUUUUAGGUAUUCCCACCCUCCAAUCUUCCCCGCACCCCCAUUGAUGAAACAUAUCAAGUUGCUGCAGAAUUUGACUUUCAAAGUCCAACCAAUGUUAUUACCAGUUAAUGUGCUAACCAAUCUCUCGGUAAACACCCCUUUCUGUUCUCUCAAUUUCCUCUGGGUGCCUCACACAGAAAUGCCCUCUGCUAUUCUCUCUGCUUGCUCUAUGUAGCCCUCAGGACUCUGAUGGAACCACACCCCUCUAAGAACUUUUCUGUGAUGCUCUACAGUCUUCUCUUCUCCAUCUCUCACCAUUCUCUGGAUACCAACAAAGCUAUACUCUAAUUUCUAACUAAAGUCCUCUUGUUUAAUGUGUUUAUGAUAGCCCCAGUUCCAGUAUGAGCCCUGGAAGGGACAGUAUUUUUAUUAUAGAAUUCUUGAUUCCCCAACAUAUGUGAACACAAUGGGUCUACUCACACACUUACCAGCUACAGGUACGGUUUCUCACGACUAACUCCAACAAUAUUAGAUUUUCUGCCAUAAAAAAAACAACACUUUGCCAUGUUUGAGAUCUCAUUUUAUCUUAACCAAAUUUCCUCUCCAUUUUUAUUUUAACAACUUAAACUGAUUAGAAGUUGCCUCUAUAACAAUAGAAAGGUCUCAGACUUUACGUACUAGACUUUUCUGAAGGUUAUCUGAGGUGUUUACAGAACACUUUAGAGUUUACUAAAAACUUCUGGAGUCAUUUUUAACUAUUUUUCUAUAACAGACUGAAGUUAUAUCAUCUACCCAUUUGGCAGAUGAGGAUGCUAAGGCAUAAAAAGGAGACAAGGAACAUGAUGCUUUCAAGUGAAGAGGAAAUCUGUGAAGAAAACUCAGGAGGAGAGUGACCAACAGUUGGCACUCAAGAGGUACCAGCUCGAGAGGACUGAGGGAUUUGUUCAACAAGCUGAGCUGGAGAUAAGAAAAAUGAGGCUGAAACACGACAUUUUCCAAGGUCACAUCUCAAUCUGGGUCUCCACAGCAGUGGCAGUGAAAAAGAAGCUAACAACCCCAACCAGAAAUGGUCCCGAUGAUCCUUCCAGGAUGGGAUGUCCUGGCCAGGGACACAGCAUGAUAUCGCCAGCAGGAAGUAGGCUCCUCUGAUAUCAUGAAAGGUGGCUCAGUGACUUCCGAAGUGAUUAGCUCCUAUCCAGAGAUUUUAGAAGCUUUCUUCAUAUUGAGGAGAACACUGAGCUCUCUGAACCACCCCCAGCCUUCACGCCGGCUCUGAAUCACCAAGCCCAGCAACCCCGAAUGCAUGAGUGUUAGAGUCUGAAUUCGUAACUGAGCACAGAAGCACUUCCAGCAAGUUCUGAUCUCGGCAGAAUGAAUUCUCCCCUUUCCCAGUUGGAUCGGAAACCUGCAUCAUCACAGGCUCCCCCAAGUGAUGUGAGUGCACAAUAGGGUCUGGGGAAACCCUAUGCCACACUCUACUUCUGCGGAGAGAAGACACAGACCACUUGUGGAGGCAUCGAGGGAGCUCAGCCUUGCAGUGGAGGCUCCUAGAACUCCCUGGGAACCCGGCAGGAGACAGCUGUCAGCACCCACCCAGCUGCCGAAAGGAAGCCGGGGACCCUUCCUCCUCUAAAGAGGCCCAAUUUCAACGACAUUACAGUGAAGGCUGUUGGGACAGUCUCCCACCUAGUGCUUUGGAGCCCUGACCCACCUCCGAGGUGACCUCACCAUCCUGCCUGGCACCGGGAAGGGCCAGGGACCCGGCUGGGCAGGCGGCGAGACCCGGCUGGCUUCCUGGCCCACUGGCUCCCGUGCAGAGGGUGGCAGGGGGGGGGUCCCCGAUUCUGCCCAGAGCCUUUCCCCUUGCGAGCUCACGUUCCUGCAGCACCUCCCGGCUCCGGCCCCACAAUGCAGCGCUCGGCUGGCAGCGGUUCAGCUGAACACUAAACACUUGGCUCCGUUUCAACACGGCUGCCAAGAUUUGGCAAGCAGAGAGUUGCAGGGAAGCAGCAGGCUGCUAAACCCUUUCACAUUUUUAAUUAGAUCCACACACCCAUGUCUUUGAGCUAUCAUAAAUAUACAGAUGACAUCGAGAGCAUUAUUCGGGGUUAAAAAAAAGGGGGGGAGAGCAAACUCUAUACAAUGGUACAGCUUCCCUUCUUAGAAUGAUUUACUUCUCGUUAGUUUGGGGGCUAAAGGCAAAGAGAGGGGAGUGAUAUUUGCUUCGGCACAACGGUGUCUGAUAGCAGAUCUCCCCAGGAUCUGGAAAGCUCGGGUCUCAGGCCUCCUCGCUGCUGUCCGGGGCUGCAUGAACAUUCACCAGAAGAGGGCAUUCUUGGCGGCAGCUUGGCCUCCUGCAGCCGGAACUCACAGGGUGGAGUGUUUGAGGAGUGGCUGCUAAAGCCACCCCCACCCCCUUCUCUGGGUGACAGCCUUACCAUCCCACAGAGCCAUGAGCUUGGCUCCUCUGCCCUAAAAAGUAGUCACUUUUGCAUUCAACGUUGCUUUAAUACUUUGUCACUGUAUCUCCUCUGGUUUGUCUGCUGGCAUCCUUCACUGUAAAAUAAUUACUGCUGCUCCUUCUUUUUUUCUAAACCUCCUGCCACAACAAACACACUCAGCUCCUUGUGCUCAGAACCACCCUCCCCUGCCUCGCUCAGCUUCUGGGUGAGUCUGAGGUGGGGGAGGGAUGGGAAAUGUAAAUCUUGAGUCCGGUCCGAUGGUCCUGGCUCCCACCCUGGUUCUGCCGUGUGGCCUCGGACACACGAUUCCAGAGACUCUCUCUCGGGUUCCUUCAUCUGAAUGAUGGUGAGUCAGCUCUGACCUCACAGAUUGCACGUGGGCGUUAAAUGACCUCACGCAUGAGCGAGGCCUGUGGCACAGCUGGUGGCACUCCAUCACUAUGGUUACAGGGACUGUGACCCCGGAACACGCGCCUGUCCCAGGGUCAGUGGACCGCAACGGUGGUCAUGCUGGUUCUUCAUGGGAUUCCUGGCCCGUGUCCUGUGGCUCCUCUCCUUUGUGACCAAGACCCCUCUGCUUCCCAGACAACCAGUUCCCGUGAGAUUCACUUGCUGUGGGCCGCCGGCGAAACAGGGUUCAACUUCCAGGCCUCUGCAUCGGUGCGCAUGUCCUUAAUUGUAAAGACAUGUAAAGAAGGAAAUGAAACACUUGACGUGCCAGGAAAGAAGUCUCUCUCAUUGUCCCAUGUGAGAGUACAAAAUUUAUAAAUAGAAGCAUCCCAAGCAUCAAACACGAAGGCAGCAAACCCACAGGCACGUUGGCCUCUCCUCUUUCUCCCCGACUCUGCACACCAUCCGGUCCCUUCUAGAGAAGACUGGAGUCUGCUGUGGGCACCCUUACACCUUCUACCUUGUCCUGCUUUGAUUUUCUCUUUCCCGUCCAGCUUGAAAAUAGAUCAUAUUUGACUGCGGCCACAUUUCCUUUGUGCUUUUUCUGCAAACAAGACAGCCAGACCAGUGAGAUGCCCGGGUCCAUUGAAAUGGGAUGCAGAUCAUUCUAGGCCCAAAGUGCACCUUUCAGUAGAUGCAAACGCUGAGACAGUGGCUAGUGGGCCGCGGCAUUCUCAUGUUCCCCACCAUCCCUCGUCCCAUCUGUGCCCCUACACUGUCCAGUGAUAGGGACUUCCCUUUAAUUAGGAGAUGAAGAAGGAUACAAGCACACACAUAACAAAAACAAAACCACAGCACCUGGAAAUGAAGAGGAGAGUGAUCACCUCCAGCACUGCAGAUGGCAGAGGGACGUGGAACCAGUCAAGCUCCGAUGGGGAUGUAUCGGUGCUCACCAGUAGUUAUGGACACGGAAGAAGCAGUUAAUCACCACAAGAAUAAAACAAGGUAUAACCUGGAUAACAGUCUUCCUGGAACAAAAGGUGUCAGGCUAAGGUCAGUCCUGGUUCCUGAGAUCUUCCUGGCUGCCCCCCCAUGUGUCAUCCCCACCCAUGAGUUGAGGACACCAGGACACACUGACCCUUCUGGUGCCUUCUGUGACCUGGGAAUGGUGGGGUGCAUGAAUGAAUACAUGUAUUUAAUGUCUUGAUUUUAUCCUUUUUAAGUAAACUCUAUACCCACCUUGAGGCUCCAACUCAUGAUGCUGAGAUGAAGAGUCCUAUGUUUUCCUGACUGAGCCAGCCAGGCAUUCCCUGUAUGUAAUGUUUUUAAGGCCAUGUUCGUCUGCUGAGACUGCUAGAACAUGGUGCCACAGACUGGGUGGCUUAAGCAAUGGAAAUUUAUUUUCUACCUGUUACGGAGUCUAGAAGGUCAAGAGCAAGGUGCCAAUCAAUUCGGUUUCUCUUGCAAGUGCUUUUCUGAUGUGCAGAUGACCAGCCUCUCACUUUGUCCUCCGUGGCUUUUCUUUGGGUACAAGCAUGAGGAGGGAGGGAGAGAGACAUCAAGAAGGAGAGACAGAAAGCUUUCUGGACCUUCUUCUUGUAAGAAUGGUGAGUCUGUAGAUCACACCGCUGCCCUUAUGGCCUUUUAUAACAUUGAUUACUUCUGUUGGGGCCCUAUCUCCGAUUAGAGCUCUACUGGGUAUAGGGUUUCAACAUGUGAAUUUUGUGGAGACGUGUGCCUUUAGUCCACAAUAAAAGUGUUUCGUGUGCUGUUGGAAGGACAUGGGGUCACACUGGGAUUCGACUCUCACUCCAGCACCUACUAGGUGUGUGGUCUUAUGCAAGCCAGUUAACCUCUCUGAGCCUUGUUUUUCACAUUUGAAAAACAGGGAUUAAAAAAAAAAAAAACCCUUUCCCAGAGGAAAAUCACACAGAGUGUGAUGACAAAGAAUAGAAGAAAUAAUGCAUGCAGAACACCUGGCCCAGGGAGAUACUCCAAAAUCACAAGCAGCUAGGGUGGGCCCUAGUUGAUAUUAUUUUUUAUCAACACCACCCACAGAGCCCAUCCAAAGUGCUGGCUCUGCAUCACAAAUGUUCUCUGUCCUGAUGCUUGCAUCUCCUAGUCUUUAGCAGCAAUGCUCCCCGGGGUCACCAUGGCAAACAGGAAAUAUAACAGAAUGUCACAGUGGCUUCCAAGGGGUCCAGAGGAAAUCAGUGCCCCUUUCCAUGGCAGUGACUCUCCAUGUCAAUAAUCACUUUAUCAUUAGAGCAUUUUGUAUUAGGCAUUGACACAGUUAAAACAUUAACACAAUCAUGAUUACCUUGGUUGAAACUCCUGCCUAAAGCAAAUGUCCUGCAGGAAAAAGAAACAAAACUAUUUUCUAGAUGCAGAGUCUAGAGUUAAGGGAUCCAAGAUCCCACUGCCAAAAAGUGAUAGAACAUGGGUCCAAACAAAGAAUGAUGGAAUCCCAAAGGCUACACACCCCAGGCUUCACCAUCCUGCCUUGAGCAGCAAUCACAACAAUGACGCUGAAAACCAACCAUCCCAGCCUUGUGCCUGCAACACUAAGCUUUUAUUCUCAUGCUCAUUGUUCUCAGGUUUGCUGUGGCUGGUGUAUGAGCUGGACUUGGUUCAUCUCGACAGCUCGGCUGCAUGUUGUGUAUUGGCUGGGUGAGGUUUUCGGCUGCAGAUGGGAUUCAUGUCCACCCAAUACAGGCUUUCUCUUGGUCCUAGGCUAAAGGAGGGGUGGCCACCCCAACUACACUGAGACAUAAAUCCAAAGAAGAGAAAGCACAUGUAAGGUGUCUGACUGCAUCGUGUCAAUGGCAUUCCAGUGGCUAAGCCAAGUCAUGGCCAAGCCCAACAUCAAAGAGAAGGAAGAAAACUACAUGCACAGUGGUAUGGGUGGGGUCGGGAAAGAGUGAAAUUUAGCUGAACGAUCAUCCAAACUAGUAGGAGUAUCCUGAAAAAAUGACAGACAAAAAAACCCUCUGUGAUCAGAAGGUUGCUCAUCCUCUCUAAGGCCUUUCUAGUGGUUUAAAGCCAGCAUCCAUUCUGUUUGGUUAAGUGUCAUUUCUGCUGGAUCAGUGGCCAAGCUUUACUGACUUUAAAAUAUUUUGACUAUCACCCUUGAUUAUUAAUAUCCAAACCACUAACUUCCUAGGACCUGCAAUCUCCAGCACCACUGAGCCUCGUCAUUCUGAAGGUAGAGCCUUGCCCUUCUACAACAGGGAAGUGGAUACAGUUUUCAGAGCUGAGAAGAUGAGGGUGAUCAUAACGGCUAUAACACUUUCUAAAAGUGUGACUUUGGCCAAAUGGCAUGAUCUAUGUGAAUCUCAGCUCCAAGGAUGUUCACAGGCUGCUAUAAAAGGGGAAGAUUUUGAGGGAAUCUCAUGCCUCAACAACGAAUGGCCAGGAGUGGAAGUUGGUAUCAUGAAAAGUAGGAGAAGACAUAGCAUCGGCCACUACCAGGCCUUUUAUAAUCACUCCACUUCAGUGUCAACUUGAUCCUGAGUUCAUGGCAGCCAAUGCAACAGGACAAUAGAGCAGAUUGUAAACUUGUGUUUUUAUUUUUGUUUUGUUUUUAAGAAAAAAUGGCACACACCAACUCCUCUGGGGAGAGUCGGUUAUCAUCAUGGACAAAGUCCAAAACACUAGGUUUCAGAAUAAAUGCAUACCAAAUUGCAUAUGACUAUUUUCCAUAACGACUCUAAAUAAAAUGCAGAGCUAUAGCAGAACAA